AUUGAACGCUGGCGGCAUGCCUAACACAUGCAAGUCGAACGGCAGCGCGGGGGCAACCCUGGCGGCGAGUGGCGGACGGGUGAGGAAUGCAUAGGAAUCUGCCCGGUUGUGGGGGAUAACGUAGGGAAACUUACGCUAAUACCGCAUACGACCUUCGGGUGAAAGUGGGGGACCUUCGGGCCUCACGCGAUCGGAUGAGCCUAUGCCCGAUUAGCUAGUUGGCGGGGUAAGAGCCCACCAAGGCGACGAUCGGUAGCUGGUCUGAGAGGAUGAUCAGCCACACUGGGACUGAGGCACGGCCCAGACUCCUACGGGAGGCAGCAGUGGGGAAUAUUGGACAAUGGGCGCAAGCCUGAUCCAGCAAUGCCGCGUGUGUGAAGAAGGCCUUCGGGUUGUAAAGCACUUUUGUUCGGGAAGAAAUCCGUGUGGUUAAUACCCGUACGGGAUGACGGUACCGAAAGAAUAAGCACCGGCUAACUUCGUG
rnacentral:rRNA from 1 species